GGUCAAGCGAAUAAGCGCACACGGUGGAUGCCUUGGCGGUCAGAGGCGAUGAAGGACGUGGCAGCCUGCGAAAAGUAUCGGGGAGCUGGCAACAAGCUUUGAUCCGGUAAUGUCCGAAUGGGGAAACCCACCCGCUUGCGGGUAUCCUGCAGUGAAUACAUAGCUGCUGGAAGCGAACCUGGUGAACUGAAAUAUCUAAGUAACCAGAGGAAAAGAAAUCAACCGAGAUUCCGUAAGUAGCGACGAGCGAACGCGGACUAGCCCUUAAGCUGAUUUGGUUCUAGGAAAACGCUCUGGAAAGAGCGGCCAUAGAAGGUGAUAGCCCUGUAUCUGAAAGGGCCAUUUCAGUGAAGACGAGUAGGGCGGGGCACGUGAAACCCUGUCUGAACAUGGGGGACCAUCCUCCAAGGCUAAAUACUACUGACCGACCGAUAGUGAACCAGUACCGUGAGGGAAAGGCGAAAAGAACCCCGGAGAGGGGAGUGAAAUAGAUCCUGAAACCGUGUGCGUACAAGCAGUAGGAGCCUCGCAAGGGGUGACUGCGUACCUUUUGUAUAAUGGGUCAGCGACUUACUGUUCGUGGCAAGCUUAACCGUAUAGGGGAGGCGAAGGGAAACCGAGUCUGAUAAGGGCGCAUAGUCGCGGGCAGUAGACCCGAAACCGGGUGAUCUAGUCAUGGCCAGGGUGAAGGUGCCGUAACAGGUACUGGAGGCCCGAACCCACGUCUGUUGCAAAAGACGGGGAUGAGCUGUGAUUAGGAGUGAAAAGCUAAUCGAACCCGGAGAUAGCUGGUUCUCCUCGAAAGCUAUUUAGGUAGCGCCUCAUAUGUAUCCUCUCGGGGGUAGAGCACUGUUAUGGCUAGGGGGUCAUCGCGACUUACCAAACCAUUGCAAACUCCGAAUACCGAGACGGACUGUAUGGGAGACACACGGCGGGUGCUAACGUCCGUCGUGAAAAGGGAAACAACCCAGACCCACAGCUAAGGUCCCAAAUUUUGUGCUAAGUGGAAAACCAUGUGGAAAGGCACAGACAGCCAGGAGGUUGGCUUAGAAGCAGCCACCCUUUAAAGAAAGCGUAAUAGCUCACUGGUCGAGUCGGUCUGCGGGGAAGAUUUAACGGGGCUAAGCACAGAACCGAAGCUUGGGGUGUGCAUAUUUAUAUGUACGCGGUAGAGGAGCGUUCCGUAAGCCGUUGAAGGUGGAUUGAGAAGUCUGCUGGAGGUAUCGGAAGUGCGAAUGCUGACAUGAGUAACGAUAAUGCGGGUGAAAAACCCGCACGCCGAAAGCCCAAGGUUUCCUUGCGCAACGUUAAUCGGCGCAGGGUGAGUCGGCCCCUAAGGCGAGGACGAAAGUCGUAGUCGAUGGGAAGCAGGUUAAUAUUCCUGCACCUCGCGUAAGUGCGAUGGAGGGACGGAGAAGGUUAGGCGUACCGGGCGUUGGUUGUCCCGGGGAAAGGCGGUAGGUUUGGAUCUUUGGCAAAUCCGGGAUCCUCUAAGACCGAGCACCGAGACGAGCCUUUAUGGCGAAGUCGCUGAUACCACGCUUCCAGGAAAAGCUCCUAAGCUUCAGCUUACGCAGACCGUACCGUAAACCGACACAGGUGGGUAGGAUGAGAAUUCUCAGGCGCUUGAGAGAACUCGGGUGAAGGAACUAGGCAACAUGGCACCGUAACUUCGGGAGAAGGUGCACCCUUUUUGGUGGCUCGUGCGAGCUAUAGCUGAAGAGGGUCGCAGUAACCAGGCCGCUGCGACUGUUUAUCAAAAACACAGCACUCUGCAAACACGAAAGUGGACGUAUAGGGUGUGACGCCUGCCCGGUGCUGGAAGGUUAAUUGAUGGGGUCAGCCGCAAGGCGAAGCUCUUGAUCGAAGCCCCAGUAAACGGCGGCCGUAACUAUAACGGUCCUAAGGUAGCGAAAUUCCUUGUCGGGUAAGUUCCGACCUGCACGAAUGGCGUAACGACAGCGGCGCUGUCUCCACCCGAGACUCAGUGAAAUUGAAAUCGCUGUGAAGAUGCAGCGUUCCCGUGGCAAGACGGAAAGACCCCGUGAACCUUUACUAUAGCUUUACACUGAACGUUGAGUUCGUCUGUGUAGGAUAGGUGGGAGGCUAUGAAACCAUGGCGCUAGCUGUGGCGGAGCCAUCCUUGAAAUACCACCCUGUCGUGCUUGACGUUCUAACCUGGGCCCAUUAUCUGGGUCGGGGACCGUGUAUGGUGGGUAGUUUGACUGGGGCGGUCUCCUCCUAAAGAGUAACGGAGGAGCUCGAAGGUACGCUCAGCGCGGUCGGACAUCGCGCACUGUGUGCAAAGGCAUAAGCGUGCUUGACUGCAAGAUCGACGGAUCAAGCAGGUAGGAAACUAGGACUUAGUGAUCCGGUGGUUCUGUAUGGAAGGGCCAUCGCUCAACGGAUAAAAGGUACUCCGGGGAUAACAGGCUGAUACCGCCCAAGAGUUCAUAUCGACGGCGGUGUUUGGCACCUCGAUGUCGGCUCAUCACAUCCUGGGGCUGUAGUCGGUCCCAAGGGUAUGGCUGUUCGCCAUUUAAAGUGGUACGCGAGCUGGGUUCAGAACGUCGUGAGACAGUUCGGUCCCUAUCUGCCAUGGGCGUUGGAGAUUUGAGAGGGGCUGCUCCUAGUACGAGAGGACCGGAGUGGACGAACCUCUGGUGUUCCGGUUGUCACGCCAGUGGCAUUGCCGGGUAGCUAUGUUCGGAAGCGAUAACCGCUGAAAGCAUCUAAGCGGGAAGCGCGCCUCAAGAUGAGAUCUCCCGGGGCACAAGCCCCCUGAAGGAACCAUGUAGACUACGUGGUUGAUAGGUCAGGUGUGUAAGUACAGCAAUGUAUUGAGCUAACUGAUACUAAUGAUCCGAGAGGCUUGACCAU
rnacentral:rRNA from 1 species